AACGAAACAUCUUUAUCACCGAGUGCUUGCACUCACCGGUAAAGGGUUGAGUGGCGAACGGGUGAGUAACACGUGGGCAACCUGCCCAAAAGAGGGGGAUAACACUUGGAAACAGGUGCUAAUACCGCAUAACCAUAGUUACCGCAUGGUAGCUAUGUAAAAGGUGGCUAUGCUACCGCUUUUGGAUGGGCCCGCGGCGCAUUAGCUAGUUGGUGGGGUAAAGGCUUACCAAGGCAAUGAUGCGUAGCCGAACUGAGAGGUUGAUCGGCCACAUUGGGACUGAGACACGGCCCAAACUCCUACGGGAGGCAGCAGUAGGGAAUCUUCCACAAUGGGCGAAAGCCUGAUGGAGCAACGCCGCGUGGGUGAAGAAGGUCUUCGGAUCGUAAAACCCUGUUGUUAGAGAAGAAAGUGCGUGAGAGUAACUGUUCACGUUUCGACGGUAUCUAACCAGAAAGCCACGGCUAACUACGUGCCAGCAGCCGCGGUAAUACGUAGGUGGCAAGCGUUAUCCGGAUUUAUUGGGCGUAAAGGGAACGCAGGCGGUCUUUUAAGUCUGAUGUGAAAGCCUUCGGCUUAACCGGAGUAGUGCAUUGGAAACUGGGAGACUUGAGUGCAGAAGAGGAGAGUGGAACUCCAUGUGUAGCGGUGAAAUGCGUAGAUAUAUGGAAGAACACCAGUGGCGAAAGCGGCUCUCUGGUCUGUAACUG
rnacentral:rRNA from 1 species